rnacentral:rRNA from 1 species
AAAAAAUUUAAUUUUGUUUAGGUGGUUUAUCUAAUUAAUAGAAGUAACUUUAAAGGGUUGGUUUAAGUAUAGGAAUAGAAUAAAUUGGUUUAUUGAUAGAUUAUUAGUACUGUGAAGGAAAAUUGAAAAAUUUUGAAAAUGUCGUUUUUAUAAAGUAGACUUUUUUUGUACCUUGUGUAUCAGGGUUUAUUAAAAUAAAAAUUAGGAUUUAUUUUUCCCGAAUUAAAAAAGAGCUAGCUUAUUAUGCAAGUUAAUGUGUCACCAUUAUUUUAAAUAAUGGGCUGGUAGUGAAAUGUUAAACGGUUUUUAAGAUAUCUGGUUCCCUAAGAAAUGAAUUUAAUUCAGUACUUGUCGUUCCUCUGCAAUUUGGGUUGUAGAUUAAUGGUGAAGUGUAAUAUUUUGAGGGAUAAGCUUUGGAAUAUUUAUUAUAAUUAUUGUAAGCGUAUUAAAAAUUGUAGGCUUUAAAUUAGCUAUCAUUUGAAUAAUGUUAUAAAUUAUUUUAUAUGAUUUUGUGUUAAGUAAUAUAUUAGGGUGAAUUAAUGAACUUAUUUUAAUUGUAAUAAUGAUGGAAUUAGUAUAUAUUUAAUGUGGUUAAUUUGAUUAAUGAGAAUUUAUAUGAAGGAACUAGGCAAAAUUAUUAAUGUUCGCCUGUUUAUCAAAAACAUGUCCUUUUGAGUUGUGUAUAAGGUCGGGCCUGCCCCCUGACAUUUAGUUAAAGGGCCGCGGUAUUUUGACCGUGCAAAGGUAGCAUAAUCAUUAGUCUUUUAAUUGAAGGCUGGAAUGAAUGGUUUGACGAAACAUUAACUGUCUCCAUAUAAUAAAUAGAAUUUAACUUUUGAGUCAAAAGGCUUAAAUGUGUGUAAAAGACGAGAAGACCCUAUAGAUCUUUAUAUGUGUUUGUGACUAUUAUGUUUAGUGGUGGUAAUUGUAGUUAUGAUACCAUAUUUUGUUGGGGUGACAUGAAGAUAUAAUUAACUCUUUAUAUUUUGAACAUUGAUUUAUGAAUUAUUGAUCCACUCUUAGUGAUUAUAAGAUAAAGUUACCUUAGGGAUAACAGCGUAAUUUUUUUUGAGAGUUCUUAUCGACAAAAAAGAUUGCGACCUCAUGUUGGAUUAAGGAAUAUGAUUAGGUGUAGAAGUUUAAUUAAUAAGUCUGUUCGACUUUUAAACCUUACAUGAUCUGAGUUCAGACCGGCGUAACCAGGUCGGUUUCUAUCUUUAUAACAAUGGGAUACUUUAGUACGAAAGGACCAAGUAUCUAAAAUAGUUUUUAUACCGUGAUAAAAAUUAAC